UACGUAGGGUGCAAGCGUUAAUCGGAAUUACUGGGCGUAAAGCGUGCGCAGGCGGUUUUGUAAGUCUGUCGUGAAAUCCCCGGGCUUAACCUGGGAAUUGCAUUUGUGACUGCCCGGCUAGAGUGUGUCAGAGGGGGGUAGAAUUCCACGUGUAGCAGUGAAAUGCGUAGAGAUGUGGAGGAAUACCGAUGGCGAAGGCAGCCCCCUGGGAUAACACUGACGCUCAUGCACGAAAGCGUGGGGGAGCAAACAGG
rnacentral:rRNA from 1 species